UACGGGGGGAGCAAGCGUUGUUCGGAUUUACUGGGCGUAAAGGGCGCGUAGGCGGCCAGCACAAGUCAGUUGUGAAAUCUCCGAGCUUAACUCGGAAAGGUCAACUGAUACUGUGCGGCUAGAGUGCGGAAGGGGCAACUGGAAUUCUUGGUGUAGCGGUGAAAUGCGUAGAUAUCAAGAGGAACACCUGCGGCGAAGGCGGGUUGCUGGGCCGACACUGACGCUGAGGCGCGAAAGCCAGGGGAGCGA
rnacentral:rRNA from 1 species